rnacentral:rRNA from 1 species
UACGUAGGGGCAAGCGUUGUCCGGAUUUAUUGGGCGUAAAGAGCGUGUAGGCGGUUUGGUAGGUCCGUUGUGAAAACUCGAGGCUCAACCUCGAGACGCCGGCGGAAACCAUCAGGCUAGAGUCCGGAAGAGGAGAGUGGAAUUCCUGGUGUAGCGGUGAAAUGCGCAGAUAUCAGGAAGAACACCCGUGGCUAAGGCGGCUCUCUAGUACGGUACUGACGCUGAGACGCGAAAGCGUGGGGAGCGAACAGG